rnacentral:misc_RNA from 1 species
CAACUCUUUUUUACUGUAAAUGACAUUUCUAAAGUGCUUGAUUACUUCUGCUUGCAAAUGCUUGCUAGGGUUUAUGGUGGUUGGUCCGGAUGUAUUCGCUUGUUUUUCAUCAGACAACAAAAAGUGCACAAAAUUCUUACCAUCAUAGUGGGUCGUGUCCUUUUGUUUCAUAAAGCGGUAGCUUUCAGUAUGAAAUAUGAAAUUACAAAUGGUUUGAAGUGGAUGGGUAAAGGGUUUAAAUAUAAAAGAACUCU